UUGGCCAAGCUGAGAGAUCUGAAGUCCAGGGAAUUGUUUUGCUCUACAUUCAACUGCCUCUGGAGCUGAGCAAAUGUGAUAACCAGCAGCAAUGAUGUUCUUAAUGGAUUCAUUAUCUCCACCUUUAGAGCCAGACGUUGGCUGACCAAGGUUGAUCCAGUCUGACCACACACAUGUUUCUUCACCACUGCAUUGGGUAGGUGUUACUCCUGUUGAAGUUGAUGUAGGAGUAGUGGUUGGAGUUGUACUAGGGCUGGGAGUCUGAGUUGUUGUUUUUGUUGUAGGUGGAGCUGUCGAUGUUGAGGUUGUAGUAGUGGGUGUAGGAGUAGUGACGAGAGGAACUGUUGUUGUUGCGGUGGUUGGGAAGUGUGUUGUGGUUCCACAUU